AAUAUUGGUCAAUGGUCGAAAGACUGAACCAGCCAUGUCGCGUGAAGGAUGACGGCCCUAUGGGUUGUAAACUUCUUUUGUAUGGGAAGAAAAGCAGUUACGUGUAAUUGUCUGCCGGUACCAUACGAAUAAGGAUCGGCUAACUCCGUGCCAGCAGCCGCGGUAAUACGGAGGAUCCAAGCGUUAUCCGGAUUUAUUGGGUUUAAAGGGGGCGUAGGCGGCUCUAUAAGUCAGUAGUGAAAUCUCGAAGCUCAACUUCGAACGUGCUAUUGAAACUGUAGAGCUUGAGUACAGACGAGGCAGGCGGAAUGUGUUGUGUAGCGGUGAAAUGCUUAGAUAUAACACAGAACACCGAUAGCGAAGGCAGCUUGCCAGACUGUAACUGACGCUGAGGCACGAAAGCGUGGGGAGCGAACAGGAUUAGAUACCCUGGUAGUCCACGCCGUA
rnacentral:rRNA from 1 species